GAUAUAAUCUAUUUUUAUUUUAAUAAUAAUGAAUUUUAAUUUUUAGUAAAAAUGCUAAAAUAAAAAAAAAAGACGAGAAGACCCUAUAAAUCUUUAUUUUAAUAAUUAAUUUAAUUAUUUAGAAAAUUUUUUUUAUUUUAUUUAUUAAAAUUUUAUUGGGGUGAUAAUGAAAUUUAAAAAACUUUUAUUUUUUUAUACAAUAAUUUUUGAUUAAUUGAUCCAUUUAUAAUGAUUAUAAAAUU
rnacentral:rRNA from 1 species